CACGUAAGAACCUACCUUUUGGCGAGGGACAACCAUUGGAAACGAUGGCUAAUACCUCAUAUUACUGAGAAGUGAAAGAUGAAUAAUCACCAAGAGAUGGGCUUGCGUCUGAUUAGCUUGUUGGUGAGGUAAUUGCUUACCAAGGCGACGAUCAGUAGCUGGUCUGAGAGGAUGAUCAGCCACACUGGGACUGAGACACGGCCCAGACUCCUACGGGAGGCAGCAGUGAGGAAUUUUCCGCAAUGGGCGAAAGCCUGACGGAGCAAUGCCGCGUGAAGGAUGAAUGCCUAUGGGUUGUAA
rnacentral:rRNA from 1 species